UAUCUUCUUAUGCUUUUGAUCCAACUCGGUGCAGAAGGCUUUACAACCUGCCGAGGCGCGAUGGAAUUCUUAGUGAGCAUCCCGAGGGAUACCUUGGGAGAGGAGCUGUUGUAUAUCAGCGAUGGUAUACAGGGAGGCGGAAACCGCCAACAGAAAAGUCGCGGCACCGUGUGAUAGCGAGAUAAAAGUUACUGGACUCGCGGGGCGGGCAAUAGACGCUCCAGUGGAGAAUAAUCCUGUAUGCCUUGUCCGUGGCUGGAUGAUGACACAGCAGGAAAGCCACUAACCGCCUGAGAGUUGAUGCCCGGAAACGGGAUAUAACGCGAGAAACAGGUGCGAGUAGCCAAAGCUCUCGGUGAAGAACCGGUCUGUAUCAACCGCUAGAUACUCAAGCUGAAGUUUGGUGAAAGUUAUGGGUAUCAAUCCCAUGUGGUCACGGCGAAAGCGGUGUGAAAAUGUUAGGGGUCGCUCCCCGAAGCACAGCGUCACAUCACCACUGAACGAACAUUAUCGAUGAUCAUGCGGCAUCCCGAAGGGGAGGAUGAAAGGCAUAAGCGGG
rnacentral:ncRNA from 1 species